UACGUAGGGUGCAAGCGUUAAUCGGAAUUACUGGGCGUAAAGCGUGCGCAGGCGGUUUUGUAAGACUGUCGUGAAAAUCCCCGGGCUCAACCUGGGAAUUGCGAUGGUGACUGCAAGGCUAGAGUUUGGCAGAGGGGGGUAGAAUUCCACGUGUAGCAGUGGAAAUGCGUAGAGAUGUGGAGGAACACCGAUGGCGAAGGCAGCCCCCUGGGUCAAAACUGACGCUCAUGCACGAAAGCGUGGGGAGCAAACAGG
rnacentral:rRNA from 1 species